rnacentral:tRNA from 1 species
GCGAGAGUCGCCCAGUUGGUUAGAGCGCCGGAUUGUGGUCCCGGAGGUCGUGGGUUCGAAUCCCAUCUCUCGCCCCA